AGAAUUAUAAACCUUAUUUCAAAGAAAAUUUUUCCUUUCCAACAUUAUUCAAUUUUCCUUACAAGGAAUAUUCAUAUGAUAAAUCCAAGACUUGCAGGAUACCAAAAUUUGCUUUUCUGGUGUCUAAAAUAUUUUCCCCACAGCGAUGUAUAAAAAUCAUUUCCACCAGGGAGGACCAGUAAAUCUAGUAAAUUUACCUGAUUUAAGGGCAU
rnacentral:misc_RNA from 1 species